UUUUUCCCAAACUUCCUGUAUUCUCCAGGAUUAAAAAAAAAAAAAAAAACCCUAAAUCUUCUGCCCUAAUAUCACUCUCUCUUUCUUGCGGCCAGUCGAUCGUCACUCUCUCUCUCUCUCGCAACAGCAGCAGCAGCAACAACAACACUAGCGUGGGCUCAUCCAGGUAACCCUCAUCUUGCAAGCGCAGGCCCCCACAAUUUCUCUCUCGCUCUCGCGUUACCCUCACAGAUUGUCUGUAGCAGGAACAACUUCAACUUCUUCACCAGUCCUUCCUCUGGUAUCCAGUGAUGUUUCUCUUCAUCGUGACAAAAGUUUAAUGCCCAAAAACCCAACAGCAUAGAGUGCAUGGAAUUUUCUUGGAACUAUGGAUAACAAAGUAUGUGUGACAUAUUGGCUCAAUGUGCUCCAGAAUCUUGGUGAGACGGGGCUACCUUAUCUGGUAACUCUAAAUCCAUCACAUACCCCAGAACAUACACUACUCAAGUGGUCAACCGGCCAUCCAUUCCCAUCAGUUGCUGCAUUAAAAGCAUCAUUUGAGCUUGAUCACAUUCAAGGGAAAAGAGUAAUAUGGUUCUGCUGAGCAUACCAAGGUGAGUUUCUUUCAUUGUUGCUGGACUGGGAUGAUGUUCACAACAAUGAUUUCUGUUCAUGGCAUGGAGUCUUCUGUGACAAUGUCACCGGAUCUGUUGUUUCUCUGAAUUUGUCAAAUUUGAACUUGGGUAGGGAGAUUUCACCAGCCAUUAGAGACUUGAAGAAUCUACGGUCCAUGUAAGCUUUCUUUGCUAAUCCUGUUGAUUUGGUGUUUUUGCUCAUUGUAACCAGGUUGACAUAAUACUAACUUUAGAUGUUAUAGUUGAAAUAUUUUCAAGGAUUUUCAGGGGAACAAAUUAACUGGUCAAAUUCCUGAUGAGAUAAGCAACUGUGUUUCUCUCACGCUAGUGUUCGUUGUUCGCAUUCUUGAAGCACGUGAUUUACCCAUGAAAUUCUUUGCUUCAGAUUCUGUCAUUAAGAUGCAACCCUUUUGAGUACGUGAUGAUAUCUUCGCAUAUCGAUAUUGGAGUUUACUGUUGAUAUUAAAACAAGAUAUAAUAUAUAUAUUUUUAUUUGUAUUGUCGAUACUUUUGUUUUAUUUUAGAUACAAAAAUUUGAGUUCUUAAAUUAUUAAUAGUUAUUAGUAUUGAUGAAGGAUGUUUUACAUAUUUUUGUAAAGAAUAUUUGUUUGAAAAUUGUUACAGAGUACAUAUAUUAUUAUUUGUAUGAUUUUGUGG